GCCUGUGUAGUCUAGUAGUUUGAGCAUAGGACUAUGACUCUGAAGACCAGGGUUCAAAUCUCUUCUUGGUUA
rnacentral:tRNA from 1 species